CGCCUUGCCAGCCCGCUCAGAAACUUAAAGGAAUUGACGGGUCCCCGCACAAGCGGCGGAGCAUGCGGCUUAAUUCGAUGCAACGCGAAAAACCUUACCUACCCUUGACAUGUCUGGAACCCUGCUGAAAGGUGGGGGUGCUCGAAAGAGAGCCAGAACACAGGUGCUGCAUGGCUGUCGUCAGCUCGUGUCGUGAGAUGUUGGGUUAAGUCCCGCAACGAGCGCAACCCUUGUCAUUAGUUGCUACGAAAGGGCACUCUAAUGAGACUGCCGGUGACAAACCGGAGGAAGGUGGGGAUGACGUCAAGUCCUCAUGGCCCUUAUGGGUAGGGCUUCACACGUCAUACAAUGGUCGGUACAGAGGGUAGCCAACCCGCGAGGGGGAGCCAAUCCCAGAAAACCGAUCGUAGUCCGGAUCGCAGUCUGCAACUCGACUGCGUGAAGUCGGAAUCGCUAGUAAUCGCGGAUCAGCAUGUCGCGGUGAAUACGUUCCCGGGUCUU
rnacentral:rRNA from 1 species